AGAGUUUGAUCCUGGCUCAGAAUGAACGCUGGCGGCGUGCCUAACACAUGCAAGUCGAGCGAGAAAGGUCUUCGGACUGAGUAAAGCGGCGAACGGGUGAGUAACGCGUAGGAAUCUGCCUUUUAGUGGAGAAUACCCUCGAGAAAUCGAGGUUAAUACUGCAUACGUCUCGAAAGAGAGAAAGAUGGCCUCUUUGCUGU
rnacentral:rRNA from 1 species